rnacentral:lncRNA from 1 species
GAACACUCUUCAUUCGCAUAUGCCAAUUACAUAUACAUUUUCUCACUUCUCCAAUGCCUAUUGAAAAAUACUUCUUGUCGGAAUUAUUCAUUCCUCCUUCAACGAAAAAGAAAAAAAAGUAUAACAUUCAAACGGUAGUUACAAAAUCAUAUUAGUGAUAUAAUUACCAGAAUAUGUGAAGAUUUCCGGUAACUACAUGAUUAAGUUUAUUCAUUACUUCUUAUGUGAUUAAUCGUUUUAUUUCAAUAAUUUCAUGUUACUAAUGAUAGAUUAAUGUACCAAACUAUGCAACUUUUUAUAGUUAUGAUUUUGCUACUUUCUAUUAUCUUUUUCUCAGAUUCUAAUUUUGUUUUUUUUUUCUCAAAAUUCUAAUUUUGCUGAAAUUUGUUUUGUCUUAGGUUGGGGCUUGUCUUAGACGGAUUUGGGACUUUUUAAUUUUUUAGAUAUAUUGUAAGUUAAUGGCACCCCUUCAUCAAGUUCCGGCGACGGUUCCAGCUCCGGUGAGUCUUCAACGACUAAUUCCGAUGGUUUGUCGGCUAUUAGUUCUAUCUAUUGUUUUGCAUUUUUUUUAAUUGAGCAAAAGUUAUUAUGUAAUAUGUAAUGAAUAAAUGCAAAACAAAAAUAAAAAUGAAACAAGAUUAUGCAAUAAAAAAUAUUUGUUUCAAAGACCAGACCAUGGUUGUCGAGAAAAUUAUUGUAAUCAUA